GACGAACGCUGGCGGCGUGCUUAACACAUGCAAGUCGAACGGUAAGGCCCUUCGGGGUACACGAGUGGCGAACGGGUGAGUAACACGUGGGUGAUCUGCCCUGCACUUCGGGAUAAGCCUGGGAAACUGGGUCUAAUACCGGAUAGGACCACUGCCUGCAUGGGUGGGGGUGGAAAGAAUUUCGGUUGGGGAUGGGCUCGCGGCCUAUCAGCUUGUUGGUGAGGUAAUGGCUCACCAAGGCGUCGACGGUUAGCCGGCCUGAGAGGGUGACCGGCCACACUGGGACUGAGACACGGCCCAGACUCCUACGGGAGGCAGCAGUGGGGAAUAUUGCACAAUGGGCGGAAGCCUGAUGCAGCAACGCCGCGUGAGGGAUGACGGCCUUCGGGUUGUAAACCUCUUUUAGCAGGGAAGAAGCGAAAGUGACGGUACCUGCAGAAAAAGCACCGGCUAACUACGUGCCAGCAGCCGCCGUAA
rnacentral:rRNA from 1 species